rnacentral:rRNA from 1 species
GUAGGUGACGAGCGUUAUCCGGAAUUACUGGGCGUAAAGCGCACGCAAGCGGUCUGACAAGUCUGGCGUGAAAUCCCCUGGCUUAACCAGGGGCGGUCGCUGGAAACUGUUGGGCUUGAGGCGAUGAGAGGGGUGCAGAAUUCCCGGUGUAGUGGUGGAAUGCGUAGAGAUCGGGAGGAAUACCAGUGGCGAAAGCGGCACCCUGGCGUCGUGCUGACGCACAUGUGCGAAAGCGUGGGGAGCGAACGGGAUUAGAUACCCCGGUAGUCCACGCGGUAAACGAUGAACACUAGGUGUGGGUGGAGUCCAUCCGUCCGUGCCAAAGCCAACGCGUUAAGUGUUCCGCCUGGGAAGUACGGCCGCAAGGCUAAA